rnacentral:snoRNA from 14 species
CUUGUGCUAUGAUGAUCUUUUGAAUAAAAUUCACAUGUCAGACUUCAGAGAUUCUUCUAAUUAAGAAUCCAUGAGAAUAAAUAUUCAUAAUUCUGAGCACAAG